rnacentral:rRNA from 1 species
UACGGAGGAUGCGAGCGUUAUCCGGAUUUAUUGGGUUUAAAGGGUGCGCAGGCGGCACGGCAAGCCGGCGGUCAAAUCGCGGGGCUCAACCCCGCCCAGCCGUCGGAACUGCCGGGCUAGAGUGGGCGAGAAGUGCGCGGAAUGCGUGGUGUAGCGGUAAAAUGCAUAGAUAUCACGCAGAACUCCGAUUGCGAAGGCAGCGCACCGGCGCCCUACUGACGCUCAGGCACGAAAGCGUGGGUAUCGAACAGG